rnacentral:rRNA from 1 species
AUUGAACGCUGGCGGCAUGCCUUACACAUGCAAGUCGAACGGCAGCACGGGAGCAAUCCUGGUGGCGAGUGGCGAACGGGUGAGUAAUAUAUCGGAACGUGCCCAGUCGUGGGGAUAACGUAGCGAAAGCUACGCUAAUACCGCAUACGAUCUAUGGAUGAAAGCGGGGGAUCGCAAGACCUCGCGCGAUUGGAGCGGCCGAUAUCAGAUUAGGUAGUUGGUGNGGUAAAGGCUCGCCAAGCCGACGAUCUGUAGCUGGUCUGAGAGGACGGACCAGCCACACUGGGACUGAGACACGGCCCAGACUCCCUACGGGAGGCAGCAGUGGGGAAUUUUGGACAAUGGGCGCAAGCCUGAUCCAGCAAUGCCGCGUGCAGGAUGAAGGCC